rnacentral:lncRNA from 1 species
AACUGUUAAAUCCUACAGUAUGUAGAAAGAGUUCAUCCUUCUGAGAUAGCAUAUGAUGGAACUACAUCAACUGAUAGGCAGACUACGAGAUUCCCUUAUAUGAUAACUAGUGCUAUGUUGUUAUUUAACGAUAAUAGCUUUCACGAAUGCCUUUAGCUCUGAUAUGUUCUCGUAUGUGAACCAUACUGUUUCAUUGUGGUUAUCUUAAGUUUGGCUUUUUGUUCCCUUUUUUUUUUUCAGGUAGCUCGUACUACUCAUUGGUGAUAACAUAUAAUUUCUGUUUCAUCUGCAGCUAUUUCUGCAGAUAUUCGAUUUCAGUCACAGCAGAUUUUGUCUACAUUAUCUGAACUUAGCAUCUAAAUUUGACGAGAAAAGCUGUAGGAUUUACCCCUCAAAACUCAAUCUACUCAAAUCUAUAACAACCUUGUCAAUUUUGUUGUCUCUAUUCAGUAAAUUGUAUUCUCUUCCCUUUCCACCUUCGUUCUUGUGUCUCGCUGAAUGGAAGGUCCGAGUUGAGAUGAUAGUAUUUCAUCUGUACUUGCAGUGGCUUGUAAACUUUGAUUCGGAGGCUAUUCUAAUUUAAUAUUUGGAGGGGCAGUGGGAAUGGUGCGGAGGGGGAAAUUAGGUAAAUUGGAGGAAGAAGGUCGUGUCACAAGUCUUGAGACUGGGGAGGGCUUUGUCACGGGGGUGGGUAGUGGGGGCUGGCGGAGCCUGGGGCUGAGAAAGGUGUUUAUAGUUUGGGCAGGGGUGGAAUAAGGAUGUUCUAGGGAGGCAUUGGCUGCAGACCUCACUUGUUGUUUAGGUACUUUAUGUAGUGAUAUGUGAUAAGCCAAGACAUAUAAAAGACAUGUUAAGGACCAGGAUAACUAGUACGUCUAACCCCACCAAGCCAUGGAUGAUGAGACGGAAGUAGAGUUCUUCGGUGUUGUUAAACUGGUCAUUAGUGUGAGCAAGCAAUUGCUUAACUUCUGUCUGAUCCUCUUUCCUGUACCUUUGAUGAAAUUGGGAUGAAAAAGCAAAUAUUAGCUGUUAUGUAGGACGGAGGAAGUAUACCGUCCAUUGAAGGAGACAAAACUUCUUUUUCUAUUCUCAUCUUUUAUAAAUUAUUUUGUGUUGGACAAUCUGUUGUGCACUAUAUUGCAUGGUAUCUCCUUUUUUUUGGAAGGUAAAACCAUCUUACAUCCUUAAUAUUUUAUAUAUUUGUAAUUUUAGUUGGUCCGACUUGAUGAAUUAUUGACUUCCAACCUGAUCAGA